UCUGGGAAUUUUAGAGGUAUUUUAGUUGGACUCACAGUCAAUCAGAAUAAUUUGCAUGAAACUCAAUAUGUAACUUUUAUCACAUACAAGAUAUAAAGUACUUAGUUACAGAGAAACAAUGCAUAUUCCUAGUACAUAUACAAUCACACACUUGCAUAUUCACCAGAUUAUAAACUUGACCUUCAUAAACAUAACAGACUCAUUCUUUCUUUUCCAUACCCUAGUCAAACAUUAGACUAUGUCUGUUCGUGAACUACAACUGUACCUGCUUUAUGUACACUUUAGGUAAGUGAUUAGAAAAUAUGUACCUUUAAUAGACAAUUUCCCUAUUUUACUACAUUUUUUUUUUAAGACAUAAUUACAAAAGAAAAAGAUACACCAUCAGAGUAAACCCAGUGGUUGGUAUAAAAUAUACUAAAAUUUCAUUCAAUGUCUUACAUAUUAUUAUGUUCACUAAUGUUCAUUUUUCAAAACUUUCAAAAGAAUAUACUAGUGUUUACACUAAUUAGACUCAAAUGCAUUGUGCUGAAGCUUUGCUUUAAUCCAUAUACCACAGCUAAUCCAAUUGCCUCAGGGAAACGCAAACAAUGAACUAAAAUGUACACUAUGUCUGUAUUACCCUAUCUGCAAGGACCUGCGUGUCCAAACCACAUACCACACCUUGUGCUUGUUGCAUAAUGUUUCAUAUAACCCAUUCAAUAAACAGCUUUGAACACUAAUUAGACUCAAAUGUUCAAUGACAUGAAAAAAAAAAAACUUAAAUCUUAAAUCUAAAGCAUGUUUGCAGUUAGCCUUAGAAAAAUGUAAAAUGUUUAAUUGACGUAAUCCAAAUAUAAGAGACUAGGGGACGCUACAUCAGCAGAUCAAAUUGAAUAGAUAAAAUUUUUUCACUAUAACACAAUAUAAAAGUUACAUAAAACAUAUCCAUUUAUAAAAUAAUUAUUGAUAUUUUCGGGAUUAUAAACUGCACGAAGUAAAACAAAAUAUUUAGUCUUGGGGGCACUGGGUACAGCACUUUUUGGUGCAAUUUAGAAAAUGCCUCAUAUUUUUUCAUCUAUUGCUUUGUUUUUCCCAAACUGUCAUUUUUUAAAUUUUUUCGCCAAUGCUAUGAUUUUAUGAAUAUUUCCGGUACUUUUUUUUGUGAGAAAAACAUGGCAGGAUUUUUCUUCCACUGUAAAUUUGGUAGCCUUACUUUUUGGAAUACUUUGAAAAAUAUCCAUUUUAGUUUAUUUUAUAGACUCUCGCUUCCAAAUCAUAUUUAUAAAUGCAUGUCAAUCCAGAUUUUUAUGAACUUGCUGCCAAUAAUUGCAAUUGUAUUUCUAUAGUGGGUUAAUCAACCUUUACCUUUUAGAGUUAUGCUAUUGCUAUGGGUCACUAAUGCCCUGCAAGG